rnacentral:rRNA from 1 species
UUGGAGGGCAAGUCUGGUGCCAGCAGCCGCGGUAAUUCCAGCUCCAAUAGCGUAUAUUAAAGUUGUUGUGGUUAAAAAGCUCGUAGUUGAACCUUGGGCCUGGCUGGCCGGUCCGCCUCACCGCGUGUACUGGUCCGGCCGGGCCUUUCCCUCUGUGGAACCCCAUGCCCUUCACUGGGUGUGGCGGGGAAACAGGACUUUUACUGUGAAAAAAUUAGAGUGCUCCAGGCAGGCCUAUGCUCGAAUACAUUAGCAUGGAAUAAUAGAAUAGGACGUGUGGUUCUAUUUUGUUGGUUUCUAGGACCGCCGUAAUGAUUAAUAGGGACAGUCGGGGGCAUCAGUAUUCAAUUGUCAGAGGUGAAAUUCUUGGAUUUAUUGAAGACUAACUACUGCGAAAGCAUUUGCCAAGGAUGUUUUCAUUAAUCAGGAACGAAAGUUAGGGGAUCGAAGACGAUCAGAUACCGUCGUAGUCUUAACCAUAAGCUAUGCCGACUAGGGAUCGGACGGUGUUAUUUUUUGACCCGUUCGGCGCCUUACGGGAAAC